GCUGGGCAUGGUGGUGCAUGCCUAUAGUCCUAGCUACUCAGGAGACUGAGGCAGGAGGAUCACUUGAGCCUGGUAGGUCGAGGCUGCUGUGAGCUAAGAUGCCACAGCACUCUAGCCUGAGCAACACGGUGAGAUUCUGCCUCUU
ensembl:misc_RNA Metazoa_SRP Metazoan signal recognition particle RNA